rnacentral:lncRNA from 1 species
AAAAUGGCAUACUGGUUCCCUUUACUGCUAUUGCGUGCCUAUCUAUGCUCCAUCGGAAGCAUAGUUUAUUUCUAUUCCCUCGUUCAAAUGAUUUAUUUGGGAGGAUUUUUUUUCCAUCUGAAAAUUUGGGAACCACAUAAGACUCACUAGAUGAUUAUUUUUUAAAUAAAAAAUUUGAAAUUUCAGUUUUUUAACUCUUAGAUCUUAUUAUCUAAAAAUUUGAUGGUCAC